CCUACGGGUGGCAGCAGUGGGGAAUAUUGCACAAUGGGGGAAACCCUGAUGCAGCAACGCCGCGUGAGUGAUGAAGGCUUUCGGGUUGUAAAGCUCUGUCUGCAGGGACGAUAAUGACGGUACCUGAGGAGGAAGCCACGGCUAACUACGUGCCAGCAGCCGCGGUAAUACGUAGGGGGCGAGCGUUGUCCGGAUUUACUGGGCGUAAAGGGAGCGUAGGCGGCUUGUUAAGUCAGAUGUGAAAUACCCGGGCUCAACCUGAGGGCUGCAUUUGAAACUGGAAGUCUAGAGUGCAGGAGAGGAGAACGGAAUUCCUAGUGUAGCGGUGAAAUGCGUAGAGAUUAGGAAGAACACCAGUGGCGAAGGCGAUUCUCUGGACUGUAACUGACGCUGAGGCUCGAAAGCGUGGGGAGCAAACAGGAUUAGAUACCCGUGUAGUC
rnacentral:rRNA from 1 species